rnacentral:rRNA from 1 species
UACGAAGGGGGCUAGCGUUGCUCGGAAUCACUGGGCGUAAAGCGCACGUAGGCGGAUUGUUAAGUCAGGGGUGAAAUCCUGGAGCUCAACUCCAGAACUGCCUUUGAUACUGGCGAUCUCGAGUCCGGGAGAGGUGAGUGGAACUGCGAGUGUAGAGGUGAAAUUUGUAGAUAUUCGCAAGAACACCAGUGGCGAAGGCGGCUCACUGGCCCGGUACUGACGCUGAGGUGCGAAAGCGUGGGGAGCAAACAGG